GAAAGGUGUAUAAAUGGAUGAUGUGUAAACUUAGCCGACGGAAUAUACCAUCGCCUAAGAGAAAAGGCUUCGAAAAAAUAUUCGUUCUGUUUUGUGUCAGCCAAUAAUUUAAAAUCCUAGGCGACGGAAUAUUCCGUCGCCUAAGAGAAAAGGCUUCGGAAAAAAUAUUCGUUCUGCUUUGUGUUAGGCAAUAAUUCAAAAUCCUAGGCGACGGAACAGUUCGUCGCCUAAGCAAAGAAAAUUCGUCUCCCAAGUACAUCAACCGACGGAAAUGCCUUCGUCGCCCAUGACAAUUUAGGACGACGGAAAAUUGUUUGGCGUCUAAGAGAGAUAUACCGACGGAACAAUAUUCGUCGCCCUAGAAAAUCUUAAACGAUGAAACCAUACCGACGGAAGAUAGUCGUCGCCUAGGAUAUCUUAGACGACGGAACCUGGACGACGAAUGGUGUUUCGUCGUGUAUGAAAAUCCUAGUCGACGGAAGACGUGUACGGUUAUUUUCUGUCGCCUAGGAUAUCUUAGACGACGGAUGUGGUAUCCUAGACGAAGGUUCCUCUUUCGUCGGUGCGGAAUUACUUAGCCGACGCCGUCGGCUAAGUUGAUAUUUCCUGUAGUGUACAAAUUCUUGAACCGAAUCCUCUUCGGUAUCAGAAGUGAGAACUAAAUGUCUUGAACUUCUUCCCAUCUUGCAUAUAAGUAGUAAAAACUUGCAUUUAUAAACUGCAUAUGCAAAAAAUAAAGUUUACUGCCCCCUAGUAAACUUCUACUGGGGGUCAGUAAACUUCAAUACAGUAUCUCCCUUUCAUAAUCAUGCCAAUUAUACACAACAGAUAUUCAUUCUUACCCUAAUAAAUAACUUCAUUGAACCCUAGUAAACAUAGUGGAAGUUUACUGCCCCCUAGUAAACUUCUAUUGGGGGUCAGUAAACUUCAAUACAUUAUGUCCCUUUCAUAAUCAUGUCAAUUAUACACAACCGAUACCCAUUCUUACCCUAAUAAACAACUUUAUUGAACCUUAGUAAACUCAGUGAAAGUUUACUGCCCCCCAAUAAACUUCUACUUAACAAGAGUAAACUUCAAUACACUAUGUCCCUUUCAUAAUCAUGCCAAUUAUACACAACAGAUACCUAUUCUUACCGUAAUAAACAACUUCAUUGAACCCUAGUAAACCCAGUGGAAGUUUACUGCCCCCCAGU
rnacentral:lncRNA from 1 species